rnacentral:sRNA from 1 species
CCCUAGCCCCGAUGGGAACGGCAUCCUUUUUUAUUUUUUUUGUGCUUCGCUUGAUUUGGAAAACGAAAUGUGUAAAAAAAUAAAAAAGAUAUAGUGGACAGCGAGAUUAAGC